GCGGAGGGAUCAUUAAAGAGUUCUAUAACUCCCAAACCCCUGUGUACAUACCUAUUGUUGCCUCGGCAGGUGGCGCCUACCCAGUAGUGCCCUACCCUGUAGGACCUACCCGGUAGGACCUACCCGGUAGAUAACAGCCUCGGUUCCAAGAGAGGAGAAAAGCAUGAUGAACGUACCCUCCUAUGCGAGUGUUACAAGUGACUGCGUAAUCCCCUUGUGAGGUUAAAAGCUUUAAGACCGUACCUCCUAUGCGAGUGUUACAACUUUACUGCAUAAUACCCUUGCGGGGACCGAGGACGCCUGCCGGCGGCCCACGAAACUCUGUUUAUUCUUGAAUUCUGACAGUAUAACUAAAUAAGUUAAAACUUUCAACAACGGAUCUCUUGGUUCUGGCAUCGAUGAAGAACGCAGCGAAAUGCGAUAAGUAAUGUGAAUUGCAGAAUUCAGUGAAUCAUCGAAUCUUUGAACGCACAUUGCGCCCAUUAGUAUUCUAGUGGGCAUGCCUGUUCGAGCGUCAUUUCAACCCUUAAGCCUCUGUUGCUUAGUGUUGGGGGCCUACAGCACUGUAGCUCCUCAAAGUUAGUGGCGGAGUCGGUUCACACUCUAGACGUAGUAGAUUUUAUCUCGCCUAUUAGUUGGACCGGUCCCCUGCCGUAAAACCCCUAAUUUUUAAAGGUUGACCUCGGAUCAGGUAGGAAUACCCGCUGAACUUAAGCAUAUCAAUAAGCCGGAGGAAA
rnacentral:rRNA from 1 species